rnacentral:rRNA from 1 species
AGAGUUUGAUCAUGGCUCAGAGUGAACGCUAGGGGCGUACCUAACACAUGCAAGUCGUGCGAGAAACCUACCCUUCGGGGUAGGGAGUAAAGCGGCGGACGGGUGAGUAAUGCGUAGGUAACCUGCCUCCGAGAGGGGAAUAACCUACCGAAAGGUGGGCUAAUGCCCCAUAAGCUCACGGCCACUACGGUGGUUGUGAGAAAAGAUGGCCUCUGCAUGCAAGCUGUCGCUCGGAGAGGGGCUUACGUCCUAUCAGCUAGUUGGUGAGGUAAUGGCUCACCAAGGCUACGACGGGUAGCCGGCCUGAGAGGGUGGUCGGCCACACUGGCACUGAGACACGGGCCAGACUCCUACGGGAGGCAGCAGUGGGGAAUAUUGGGCAAUGGGCGCAAGCCUGACCCAGUAACGCCCCGUGGGUGAUGAAGGCCUUCGGGUCGUAAAGCCCUGUCAGGUGGGAAGAAUAUCUGAUGGGUAAAUAGCCCAUUGGAUUGACGGUACCACCAGAGGAAGCACCGGCUAACUCCGUGCCAGCMGCCGCGGUAAUA